AUUGAACGCUGGCGGCAUGCCUUACACAUGCAAGUCGAACGGCAGCAUGGAGAGCUUGCUCUCUGAUGGCGAGUGGCGAACGGGUGAGUGAUGCAUCGGAACGUACCGUGUAAUGGGGGAUAACGUAGCGAAAGUUACGCUAAUACCGCAUACGACCUGAGGGUGAAAGCAGGGGAUCGCAAGACCUUGCGUUAUACGAGCGGCCGAUGUCAGAUUAGCUAGUUGGUGAGGUAAAGGCUCACCAAGGCGACGAUCUGUAGCGGGUCGGAGAGGAUGAUCCGCCACACUGGGACUGAGACACGGCCCAGACUCCUACGGGAGGCAGCAGUGGGGAAUUUUGGACACUGGGGGCAACCCUGAUCCAGCCAUGCCGCGGGAGUGAAGAAGGCCUUCGGGUUGUAAAGCUCUUUCGGCCGGGAAGAAUCGCACAGGCUAAUACUCUGUGUGGAUGACGGUACCGGCAUAAGAAGCACCGGCUAACUACGUGCCAGCCGCCGCCGUAA
rnacentral:rRNA from 1 species